GAGGAAGCUAAGAUCCAGAGGAUGAACUUACUUGCCCUCAGUCAUUCUUCCAGUUGGUGACAGUCAAGUCUGGAAGUUUUCCUAUCUCACUGUCGUGAACAGAAGGAAAAGGCCAGCAUUUUAUGUUAUUUGGAUACUGGUAUCUCCCCUUCUGCUUGUACCAGCCAAGUUUCCAGGAAGGGAUUAUGAUGUUUACAAUCUUGAUGGCAGGAAGAUUCUACGUGGAAUAAUUAUUAAAAAAAUACUUUCUAAUCUACAAAUUAGAGAGUGUAGAGGGCAUAAAGGAAUUAUUGAGUGUGCAGCUGCCCCACACCUGCCCACUCUGUGGGUCCCUGCCCUGGCAGAAGGGGAAUAUAGUACAGCUCUGCCUGAAGCAGCCACCAUUUGUCCUACCAUGUUACUACAGAGAGCCGGUGCAUUUGUGGGGAUUAAAACCCCCGAGAAGAUUGAAUUCUCCUGCGAAACAAAACCAAUGCCUUUCGAACACAAGAUACAAGGUUACAAGAAAAGAAAAUCAAUAUUUAAUCAUCAGUCCUCAUGCUCUACUCUUGCUGAAAAUCAAGUUAAUUCUUUCUUAAAUGAUCUGUCAGCUUAUUAAUGCCUACACCAUAACGUUAGAAAGCAUGUUUGACGGCAUGCAUCCAACUGGAAAAGAAAAUACCCACAACUUUCUUGCUGACUGCUUUUGGACCACAUUCUAACUUUCUCCCGUUUAGGCUGAGAGUGAGGGGGAAGUCAAAGCUUAGAGGGGCAAGAUGGCAGAAAGCAUGAGAUGUGUCUAGAGGGAAAUCAGUGAGUUUUGUUCAUUCCUGAGGGGCCUUCAUGAUCAGGGAGUUGCAGGACUUCCUCUUCUCGGCAGUGUCACAUUUGCCUCAGACCCUCAAGGAAGAGCUUUGUCUCAGGCCUUUCCUAAGGGGCUUUUAGUGGCUGACAGUCAAAAGGUUCAGAAGAUUGUUUCCUAAGAAGUACCAAAAGUAAACGACACUUACGACCUGAUGGAACUGCCUCACUAACCUCCCAUAUAUUUGGAUUUUCCUGAAGGCCAAAGUGAUGCCUUUCAACUUCUCGUUUGGCUUUUAGUCUUCCUAAAUUUGAGUCGCUUGAGAGCUGAACACAGAUGGGGAAGAAGAAAGGGGAAAAAAAGCAGCUAACAAAUAAAGGAUUCAGGCUCAAUUUUCAA